UACAGAGGUCUCGAGCGUUAGGCGGAAUCACUGGGCUUAAAGCGUGUGUAGGCGGAUCGGUAAGUACCUUGUGAAAUCCCACAGCUUAACUGUGGAACUGCUUGGUAUACUGCCAGUCUUGAGCCAGCUAGGGGCUACCGGAACAAAUGGUGGAGCGGUGAAAUGCGUAGAUACCAUUUGGAACGCCAAUGGUGAAAACAGGUAGCUGGGGCUGUGCUGACGCUGAGACACGAAAGCCAGGGGAGCAAACGGG
rnacentral:rRNA from 1 species